rnacentral:rRNA from 1 species
UGCAAACCAAAGCUGGCGACCGGCGCACGGGUGAGUAACACGUAUCCAACCUGCCUCAUACUCGGGGAUAGCCUUUCGAAAGAAAGAUUAAUAUCCGAUAGCAUAUAUUUCCCGCAUGGGUUUUAUAUUAAAGAAAUUCGGUAUGAGAUGGGGAUGCGUUCCAUUAGUUUGUUGGCGGGGUAACGGCCCACCAAGACUACGAUGGAUAGGGGUUCUGAGAGGAAGGUCCCCCACAUUGGAACUGAGACACGGUCCAAACUCCUACGGGAGGCAGCAGUGAGGAAUAUUGGUCAAUGGACGCGAGUCUGAACCAGCCAAGUAGCGUGAAGGAUGACUGCCCUAUGGGUUGUAAACUUCUUUUAUAUGGGAAUAAAGUGGUCCACGUGUGGAUUUUUGUAUGUACCAUAUGAAUAAGGAUCGGCUAACUCCGUGCCAGCAGCCGCGGUAAUACGGAGGAUCCGAGCGUUAUCCGGAUUUAUUGGGUUUAAAGGGAGCGUAGGCGGAUUGUUAAGUCAGUUGUGAAAGUUUGCGGCUCAACCGUAAAAUUGCAGUUGAUACUGGCAGUCUUGAGUGCAGUAGAGGUGGGCGGAAUUCGUGGUGUAGCGGUGAAAUGCUUAGAUAUCACGAAGAACUCCGAUUGCGAA